UACAGAGGAUGCGAGCGUUAUCCGGAUUUAUUGGGUUUAAAGGGUGCGUAGGCGGAAUAUCAAGUCAGCGGUAAAAAUUCGGGGCUCAACCCCGUCGUGCCGUUGAAACUGAUGUUCUUGAGUGGGCGAGAAGUAUGCGGAAUGCGUGGUGUAGCGGUGAAAUGCAUAGAUAUCACGCAGAACUCCGAUUGCGAAGGCAGCAUACCGGCGCCCAACUGACGCUGAAGCACGAAAGCGUGGGUAUCGAACAGG
rnacentral:rRNA from 1 species